CAGUCUGGCCUGCGAGUUCGGCUCAGGAGUGGCGGCUUCCAUUCUGAGUCCUUGCCCAGGUUCCAGCCACAGGAAGAGGCAGUGAUGAACUCAGUGAUUGCCUACCUGAUCUCACUUCUUGAGCAAUUAACAGUGACUAAUGUUACCAGCAUUAACCCAGGCCAUGAGACGAGCAGUUUUGCUCUACCAUAUAACCCCACCAUGAUGUGUUACCACAAAGCCAAAGCAACAGAAUCAAGCCAUCAUGGACGGAAACCUCAACCUGUGAACCAAAAUACUUCUUUUCUCUUUGUAGAUUGUUUACCUUGGGUAUUUUGUUAUAGUGAUAGAAAGUUAAAUAAAAUUACCUACACGUUAAAAACAAGGAUAUUUAAACCUUCUCUAUAGCCAUUCUAAGGUACUAUUGUGUUUAUUUUCAGGAAGCCUUC